ensembl:snoRNA
UUAGGCCCUUAUCGAAGCUGUGGCAGUUCCUCCUAUAGCUGUUGCAGUCAAAAUGGAGCCCAGAGUAAGUUUCCCAAUGGUCGUUGUUGUAUUUAACACUGUAGUAGAACAGCAACAUUAUGGGAAAAGACAGAA